AGAACGAACGCUGGCGGCAGGCUUAACACAUGCAAGUCGAACGGUUGUAGCAAUACAGCAGUGGCAGACGGGUGAGUAACACGUGGGAACCUUCCUAGGGGUACGGAACAACUCAGGGAAACUUGAGCUAAUACCGUAUACGUCCGUAAGGAGAAAGAUUCAUCGCCCCUAGACGGGCCCGCGUAGGAUUAGGUAGUUGGUGAGGUAACGGCUCACCAAGCCUACGAUCCUUAGCUGAUCUGAGAGGAUGAUCAGCCACACUGGGACUGAGACACGGCCCAGACUCCUACGGGAGGCAGCAGUGGGGAAUCGUUGGACAAGUGGGCGCAAGCCUGAUCCAGCCAUGCGCGUGAGUGAAGAAGGCCUUCGGGUAGUAAAGCUACUUUUACCAGGGACGAUAAUGAACGGUACCUGGAGAAAGUAACGACCCCGGACCGAAACUUCGUAGACCACGGACAACG
rnacentral:rRNA from 1 species